AUGUAUAUUUUUCCUUUCAAUUUCUUUUGUUGCUGAUUCUUUGAUUGAUUAUGUUAUAUCCUUUUUUGUUUCCCUUGUAGGGUGGCAUGCCCGGUGCUACCAAUCUGAAGGAAUCUGAAGUAUUAGAAAGCAUUGUGAAGAAGCAGGCCUCAGCUGGGCGUCUUUAUGCUGCUGUCUGUGCUUCACCUGCUGUGGCAUUAGGGUCUUGGGGUCUGUUGAAGGGAUUGAAGGUAAGAGUUAGAUAAGCCUUUUUGAUGUUUUGUGGUCUUUUGGGAAUUGCACUGAUAUUUUUGUUAUAGUUCAGUUUUCUUCUCGCUGAUGAUUGUUAAGUUCUAAUUUAUGUAGUUGUUCAUUUUUCGUAGGCUUCUUGUUAUCCGUCAUUUAUGGAGCAAUUAGCUCCUGCUUGUGCAGCAACUGUUGAAUCAAGAGUACAGCAGGAUGGUAAAGUUGUUACGAGUCGUGGACCGGGCACUACCAUGGAGUUUGCCGUUGCACUUGUUGGGCAGUUGUAUGGGAAAGAGAAAGCUGAUGAAGUUUCUGGGCCACUGGUAUUAACUUUUAUAGAUAACGUUGUUUAAAAAAAUUAUGAGUUAUAUAAUUUGUGGAAGCUUCAGAUGCUAAUGUAUUCAAGAAAAUAAGUUCAGGGGAAGAGUAUGACUUUUUGCAUUAGUGAUUCAUUAGAUGAAAUUGUAUACCUGCUGGUCCAUCAUAAGGUGGUGAAAACAAUGUUUGAUUUAAUUAAUGGAAUCCUGAAAUAUGCAUUUGUUGAGCUUCAAUGUCUCCACUGAUAAAAUUCUUUUUAAUGUAAGUUCUUUCUCUUGGUAUUCUGCGCAAAUGUUGUGGUUGUGUCAGUUGAGGAUAAACUAGAAAUUCUGGCUUCUCGUCAAGUUAAAUUAGUGCCAGAUAUGCUUAUUGAUGAGGCAGCUAAACUUUCGUAUGAUUUGAUUGUCUUGCCAGUAAGUGGGGUUGCUAACUCUUGCCUCAUAGUCUUUACCAAAUUAUUGACUUACUAACUACAAUUUAUCUAUGCACAGGGUGGACUUGGUGGUGCUCAAGCAUUUGCGAAGUCAGAAAAAUUGGUAAAUAUGCUAAAGAAGCAAAAGGAAUCAAAUAGGCCUUACGGUGCUAUAUGUGCAUCCCCAGAACUAGUGUUGGAGCCCCAUGGCUUACUCAAGGUAUGACCAUUUCUGAUUAAAUAUUUACUCUUGAUUUGAAUCACCUAAUCUGAACUUGAUAAAAUAUUGUGAUCUUGUGUGAUUUUAUGAACGUGGUCUUAUCUCAUGUAAGUAUGUAAUGAAUUUAUUGAAGUUUGCUGACAAAUUACAAACUCAAAAACUGCUGCUGCUGCUUCAUUAGUUACAGUACCCAAGGAGUUAUGAUAGACAUCCCAAACCUUUUACCCCAAAUUCCCUCUCAAAUGACAUGGUAGUUAUUAAGUGGUUGGUAAUUUUUUAUUAGAUAGAAGUGAAUUAAUUAUAUUAUUUAAUCAACCAAUUGAUGAAUGUCACGCCAUUUGAGAUGAAUUUUUGGGAUGUGUAGCAAAACUUUAUGCUGAUUUGUUUUGGCUACAUUCAUGUAAAACCUUUUUCCCCAAAUCCCAAGAACUUCCCGCAAUAUCAUUCCUUUGUAUUUGUUUUCCCCUUUAGACAUGUUUAACUUUGGUUCAGGGUAAAAAAGCUACGGCUUUUCCUGCCAUGUGCAACAAGCUAUCAGAUCAAAGUGAAAUCGAAAACAGGGUUGUGGUUGAUGGCAACCUUAUCACCAGCAGAGGGCCAGGAACUUCCAUGGAGUUUGCACUGGCAAUUGUGGAGAAGUUUUUUGGCCGCAACAAAGCUCUUGAGCUUGCAAAGAUAUUGCUUCUCUCCUGCACCUAAAAUUUGUACCAGGACCUGACUACUAUUAAACUAGAGUAUUUAUUCCUGUAUUACUGCUGCUUGUAGAGAGGCGAAAUGGAAACUUGAAUUCGUGUUUGAAUAUGGAUUCACUGUGCGGGUUUGUACAUGUUGAUGCCUAAAAUCUGUUCUGGUUUAUUAGCGACUUAAUAUCAGACUUCUACACCAGCAUUAGAUUUAUUUGGUAGAGAAUCGAUUGAUCAAUCGUCUAAAUGUCCUGCAACCACCAGCGAUUAACCUGCGAAUACCUGAAAUCAUAGAAGAUGGUCAGAGGCGCCGGAAGUUUUUCCGGCGUGAAGCCUCCGACGCUCAAGUCAGUUUCUAGGCCUUUCGGAAAAAUUUAUGCCACCACUCAUGUGGCUUAAUAAGCAUUGCCUUAAAACCCAAAGCUUUUCGAGUAAUUUACAGAAAGUAAAGUAUAGUGUAAAAGUAAGAAUUUUCCAUGAGAGGAAGAGAGCCAAAAGCCCCUUGGAGAAGAGAGAAAAAAUAAAUAAAUAAUCCCCCCUAGGUAAUUCCCCACUCCCCUCUUUCCCCCCUUGGUCUCUCCCACUUUCGGAAGUUAAGGAUGAGAUAAAAGUAAUGUCCCCAUUCUCCCUUUUUUUUUUUUCCUUUUAUCCGUUACCAAACAGUACAAGAGCUUGUUUAUAAAUAAAUGAGUUCAUAAAGAGUCAUUUUAAACAUUUGGAAUAAACGUGAGUUGCUGUUUAGUUCUGUUUUCAAUGUUCACCGUUCAAUUGUGAUCCAGAGCAAUAUAACUACACUCACUGGGAAUUUUAAUUAUGAACCAAGAACGAAGUUGAACCGAGAAUUUGAUACUUUAUAUAUUCCAGUUACCAUAUUUAAGAAAGAGUAUUGAAAAGAAAGACGCUAACAGAGAAUAUUGAAGUUAAACACAUACCAUAUCUAGUAUUAAGUCUGUAUGCCAAAGUUACAAAUUCGAAGAUCAGAUUCCUCAUUUCAAUUUAUGUUCUGCUCAAAACAAUGGCUCUUAUUCCACAAGCACAAAGAAGAAAGAGUGCGCACAAAGUUAACAGAGACACGCAGUGAAAAUUACGCUAAUUGGUUGCAGCAGCAUCAUCCAGGAACUUCACUUUAAUCUUCUUGAGCUUUGCUGCAGCGUCUGUCAUAUUUAUCCUCAUGUCGGGUGACUCCAUACAACAAUCCAAUGCCAAAUCCAUUAUGCUUAAUAUACAAUCCAUUUUGGCAGAAAAAGCUUGCUCUUCUCGCACCAAAUUUGCGUCAACAACUUCAAUCAAUCCGUGAGAUAAAGACUCCUUUACCCAUCUCCUUAAACUCAUUUCUCCUGUGAACAUUUCAUCGGUGGGCCUCUUUCUCGUGAAGGUUUCCAUCAAUAAAACACCAUAGCUGUAGACAUCACAUUUAGUUGAAACAAUUCCUUCAGAUCCAUACUCUGCAUUUUUUAAUUUUAAUUAUGAAACAAAUGAUAAAACAAAUAAUUUUUUGAUAAUUAAGGUAACCCAAACUUUGCUCGUGCUUGAAAAAAGAGAAAAAAAUUUAAUUACAAUUGAAGCUUUACCUGGUGCCAUAUAACCAAUUGUAGCCAUUGUCAUGGUUUGUGUCUCAGAAUCUUCUCCUUCACCUAAGAGUUUGGAAAUGCCGAAGUCGCUCACAUGUGCCACCAUAUUUUCAUCCAAGAGAAUGUUGGUGGGCUUCAAAUCACAAUGAAUUAUAGGUGCCGACGAAUGACCAUGAUGGAGAUAUUCAAGAGCCGACCCCACAUCUAUCAUUAUAUUCAACCUCUCUAGAAUGUCUAAGAAAUAGUUGUGAGAAUACAACCACUUCUCGAGACUACCAUUCGGCAUGAACUCAAGUACCAAUGCUUUGAAAUCUGGAUUAGAACAACUGCUAAGGAUCUUUAUGAGAUUUCGAUGACGAACAUUCCGUAAAACUUCACAUUCAGAAUCAAAACUCCUAAAUGCUCUCUCGAAUUGCAGAUUGAAAAUCUUUAUUGCAACAUUAGUCCCGUCGGAAAUGGUUCCUUUAUAAACUGAUCCAAAACUACCUGUACCAAGCAAGUUACAUUCAUUAAAUUUAUCAGUUGCUCGUUGAAUGUCUAGGUACGGUGUUCUUCUCCAUUUUGCAAGAGGUAGAAAAUCUUCGUGAUCCAAAUGCUUUGUACUCCUAUUCCGGCAUCUUUUGUACAUAAUGAUGGUAAUCACUAUAAGUACAGAGGAUACUAUCGGAGGCAAAAUAUAUUUAAGGACAAUUAGAGCAACUUUCUUGGUUCUUUUGCUGUUACCUUGUUUGCAAAGUGGGACUCGGAGUUUAGGUGGACCACAGAGUGCAUAAUUUCCGAAAAAUGAUUCAGCUGAGAAGUUUUUAAAAGACCUUUUAACAAGAAUUUCCCCUUCUAGCCUAUUAUGAGACACAUUAAAUUGUUUGAGAUGUGAAAGUGUCUCCAAUGACUUAGGAAUUUUUCCAGAGAAAUUGUUGCCGGAGAGAUCUAAGGAUUCUAAGCUUAUCAAACUGCCAACUGAUUCAGGGAUAGGUCCUUGAAAUUGAUUACUAGCCAAGGAUAGAGUUUCUAGAUCUACGAGAGCACCAAUGGUUGAUGGAAUAUUACCUGAUAAUUGAUUCCUUGACAAAUCUAAAACUCUCAAGACCUUUAACUUUUGUACAUUGGAAGGGAGAGAAUCAUUUAAUGAAUUUGACGACAAGUUUAUCUCUAAGAUGUACUCAAGGCUCCACAAGGAUGACGGUAUACUAGAAGUGAGCUUGUUGGAGCCUAAGCGGAGUUCUCUUAGAGAUGUCAAACUCGCCAAGCAUGGCGGUAUAUGUCCAGAGAGCUUAUUUCCAUUUAACCUUAUUCCGUACAUCAACUCCAAGUGGCAAAGAUCAUAGGGAAUGGAUCCUUCCAAAUUAUUUUCUUCAAGAGAUAAACCUUGUAGCCGCUGUAAUGUUCCUACAGAUGUUGGAAUAGUUCCAUCCAAGUCAUUGAAGUCGAGGGUUAAGAGGAUCAAGCCACGUAAAUUACCAAUUUCUUUAGGAAUGCUGCCCCCGAGUUUGCAAUCGGAAGCAUAAAAGCUUUGAAGAGAAGCAGAGAAAUUUCCAAUUAAUGGUGGAAGGAUGCCACCUAAUGGAUUAGAAGCUAAGACUAAAUAGGAUAGCUUUCUACAAUUAGUCAAAGAAGAGAGAAAACUCCACUGAUCUGCUGAAGAUGAUUCUGUCGUCAAGUUAUUCCCUGCUACGCUGAGCACGUUGAGGUGCCUCAAGUUGCCAAAUGUAUUUGGUAUAUGGCCUGAGAAUGAGUUAGAGCCCAAGUCUAGACCAAUGAGUUUGGAAGCAUUGGUAAUAGAGUUGGGAAUUGUCCCGAUAAGAUUAUUGAUCGACAAAGUUAAAUACUCUGUGUUCGGAAGCGAGUGGCCUAUCGUUGAUGGUAGGCGGCCUGAUAGUUGGUUGCUCUGUAGAUUAAGGACUCUUAUGGUUGAAAUAUUGAAGAUCGCGGGUGGAAUGAGGCCACUUAAAUUAUUCGUACCAAGAGCAAGAAUCUCCAAAUUUUUUAGAUUGCCAAUCUCGGUUGGAAUUUGAUCUGUCAUAUCGAUUAAACCAACAUUGAUGAGUUAUUGAGUUUUUUGCUAAACAUAAAUUUAAUUUCAAAAUUCAUGAAAAUCAAAAUUUCCCACAAAAUAUGUGUUAUUAGUUUAUAAUAAUUUAGGGGGUAAUGAUAUUUCUACCCCAUGAUUUUUGUAAAACACACAUGCUUUUAGAAAAUUAUUACCGCAAGAUCACAUUAUUCUUAAAAAUUCAAAUUAAGAAGAAGUUUCUAGAAUCAAUCAAUUAAAUCCAAAUUAAUUUAUAUUUGAAACUUAUAUUCUUUUAUUAUAUUUAAGUACUAAGGUUGUUUUAACAUAAAUUUAAUUGACUAUUUUACCCUCCUAAGGUAAAAGUACUAAAAUCCUCAAAAAUUUACUUCAACUAAACUAACAAAAUAUAUUUAUGACCUAUGGGGCAUUAAAAAUAUUGAAUUUUAUUUUUAAAAUAUUAUAUUACAAAACAUAAAACUAUAUGCUAGAUACUAUAGUACAUGUUUCUUGGGGUGAUAUAGUCAUUUUACAUUAUAAGGAUGAAAUAGUCAAAUUAAACUUAACUUGAAGCACCCGUAAAUGCCAAAAAUUGUUAAAAGACCUAAGUCAUAAAAGAAAACUAUUAUCAGAAUAAUUUAUUUAGUUAAUUAUCUGACUUAUUGUUAAUUUAUAAUUUUAUAAGAUAUUGUGAACUUAUUGCAAUUAUCUUAUGGAGAUGAGGGGGGGUUUUGCAAGAAUAUGAGCGGCAGUUUUGCCACUCUAUAAAAUAAAAAGAAUUAUGCAGUCAUGCAAAUGCAAAUAUGCUGAACUUACCUUGCAGGUUGUUAUGACGAAGAUCCAAAUCAAAAAGGUUGCUCAAAUUUCCUAUCCCUGAAGGAAUAUUUCCAUCAAUAACGUUGAAACUUGCUUGUAACAUCUCCAAUUUCGAUAAGUUGAAGAGAGAAUUUGGGAUUGGACCCGUGAUAUUGUUAUUACGAAGACUCAUCAUUUGUAAUUUGGAUAAGACACCAAUCCAAGUUGGAAUGCUUCCACUCAAUUUAUUGAAAUUGAAACUAAUGAAUUUGAGUCGGCCUAAUUUCCCCAAUUCAUUAGGUAGAUGGCCAUAAAAAUUGUUCAAAGUAACAUCAAGAGACAUUAGGAAUGAGAGAUUUCCCAAGUGUGGGGGAAUAGUGCCUCCGAGACCCAUGCCUGAAAGAUUUAAAGCCUUGACUCUUUGAUGGCGUGAAUCACAAGAAAUACCAACCCAGCUGCAUAUUGGAUGAGAUAUAGACCAAUUAUUUGCUAGGACACUCCGAUAAUCAACGACAUGGGCUUUGAAUGCAAGAAGAGCUGAUUGAUCUGUUGUCAAAUUGUUUAAAGUCGUCAUAGCUAAGUUAGCUAUGGAAUAUUGUAACAACAUAGGAACAAAGAAGAACGAUAGGCGCAUAUUGGUCGUUUUUAAUAGAUACAGCAACAUAAUUGCUAGGUGAGAUUGAAACAAGUUUGAAGUGAAGGAAAUUAGCAUAUACUUAUACAAGAGACGUAUGAAUUUGAAAACAAGAAAAGAAAAAAUAUACAGGAGACUUGCAAACUGUUAUAUUUUGCCAUUAAGCGAGUCGUCCAAGUAAACGCACGUAUGGACUUGCAAAAUUGUUAAACGUCGCUGUACUUGAACCGUAAACAAAGGGUGUGUUUGGUUGGAGGAUUAAAAGUGGGGAUUAGACACCUUUUUUUUUUUUUUUUAAUUUUAUCCUUAUCUCAUGUUUGGUGCUGUCAAGGGUAUUAGGAUUUAGUUAUCUUGAACUCACAAGCUAAUCUUAAUUUUGUAAAGGAAAUUAUCCCAAGAGGGGUCAUGGGAUUAGUUAGUAUUGGAUUAUAUUGAUAACUCAAUUAAACAUAAUAAUUUAUAAAUAUUAAAAUUAUAGUAAUAUGUGAUAAAUGUAAUAAAAAAAUAUUGAUUUUAAUAAUGUAAAUAAUAAAUUAUACUAAAAAUCAUUAUUAAUUUCACAUUAAAUUAAAAUUCUAUUUUACUUUAUUUAAUUAUUAAAUAUUUUUUAUAAUUCCAAAUUUACAUUAUAAAUUAAUUAUUAAAUUAGUAUUCAAAAAGAUAAUUUUUUAUAAAAUAAUAGAUUAUUGAAUAAAUAUAAUAUAAAUAUCAUAUACAUAUUUAACAAACUAAUAAUUAUUAAAAUUAUGAUUUCUAUUUCAUUAACGUCAUUGAGGUUGAUUUGUAUAAUUAAUAAUGCAAAAUUUUAGUUUAUAAUAAUAUUAAUAAUAAUAAUAACUUGUAAAUUGUAAUAUUAUAAUGUAAAACAUGAUUAUUUAUAGUCCAAUCUAAUAUUGUACCAAACACAAUAUAGUAUUAUAUAUAAUCCACUAUUAUCCAAUCCAAUCCAAUUUUAUCCAAUUUAAUCUAAUCUAAUUCAAUCAAAUCCGGCGGACCAAACCAGCUCAAAGGUUUUAUGGCCCUUUACUUACCAAACAGAAGAAGAUGCUCAACAUUGGCAUCUUUGACCCAAUCCAAAUUUAAUCCAGACAUCUGCGGAUCAGAUGCAGAUUUGACCCAAUCUAUAUCCAAUCCACCAUUUUACGGAUUGGUUUGCAGACUGAAAAUUUUUAAUUCUGUCAAAUCCACGAACUAACUAAAUAAAAAAAAUUUAAUAUAAAAAUAAAUUUACUAUGAAUCAAAUUUAAAAUUAAAUAAGAUUUAAAUAAAUUAAUUGCUUAAAUAGAGCUAAAAAUACAUUUAAAGUUUCAAAAUAUAGCACACCAAAAUAAAAAUAAAAAAAUCAUUCGUUUAGAUCAAUACAUGGAAAUUAACUAUUUAGUAAACUAUAUUUGUUUAUUUAAUUAUUUUUUUAUAUUAUUAACGGAUAAGAUAUAAUAUAAUGUUAAUGUAACUAUAUUUUAACUUAUUUAUUUACUUAUAAGUACUAAUGCCAUAUUUACAAGUUUUAUUUUUAAUUAAAUAAAUACUUCUUAUUUUUUUGCGGAUUCGUGGAAUUUUACGGAUUUACAGAAGUAGAUCCAUAUCCAAUCCACUGAUUGCGGAUUAUUAAAUUUUCAAUUCAAUCUAAUCCAAUCCACCAAUCCACGGAUCAGACGGAUUGAGCGGAUCGAAUUGGAUUAUGAAAACCCCUCGGUUUUGGUGUCCAUUGUUGAAAACUUGGAAGUCUAUAUGACCAUUUAACCAAACUCUAGGGGUACAACUAUCACAAAGUUCUAAAAAUAAAUUUUACCCAACAUUUAAAUGAUUUUUUUUCACAGUUGAUUAUUAAAUUCUAAGUGUUUGGCUACUGUAAGAAUACAAAUAAUUGACAUAGACAUAAUAUUAAAUAAAAUUUACUUAUAUAUUUAUAUAAAUGUAUGUAUGUGUGUGUGUGUAUAUAUAUAUAUAUAUAUAUAUAUAUAGUUUAUUGUUUGUAUAUAAAAAUUGCUAACUAAAAAAUAUUUAUAUUUUAUCAAUUUUAUUUCUUUUAUUGUUUAUCUCAAUAUAAAUGUAAUAAUAAUAAUUUCUCUAAAUUUAAUUAUUUUUGCUCUUUAUUGAAUAAGGAUAAUUUUGAGUUUCUGUAAUAUAUGUGAGGAUAUAUACAAAAUUGUAUUAAAUAUAAAACUAUUGUCAAAAUUAAAUUUUAAAAAACUAUUCCUUUCUCACUUUUCAUUAGGCAAAUGGCCACAGAAAUUAUUCUCCCUAAUGUCCAAAUAAACUAAAAACGAGAGAUUUCGUAAGUGUGGAGGGAUGAUGCCUUCCAAACCCAUCACUGAAAGAUUCAAGUUUGUGACUGUUAUGGUAUGAGCAUCACAACAUAUGCCAAUUCGACUGCAUACUGAGUAAGACAUGGACCAAUUAUUCAAGAGAUUCAUGAGCCUUCGAAGUGAGAAAUAAAGCAAAUUAGGUGGUGGUGGGUCAAUUGACUACGUUUCGUGAUCUACAAGCGAUUGCAACAGUCGGUUCAUUAAGUGAAAUUAAUGACUCGUCCACUUUAGUAAUAUACCGUCCUCUUUAGGAUGGUGCUGGGUCAAUUUUAUCUCAUUUUCGUUGAUUACGAGUUGUGAUCGAUGACAUCACGAAAGUAGUCAAUUUACAGCUCAUUCACUAUAUAUAGUCUAUGGGUGGAUGGAUCUAACGUAAAUUAAGGGCUGAUGACCCUCGACUUCUAACGACAACCAACGAAGACGACCUUGACUUACAUGUAAACACACAAUUCGCUCUCAUACAUUAUGUUUUAAAAUUUCUCCAUUUUCCGGGGCCCCGCUGUCGACCGUACACAGUUUAAUUUGUAUAUACAAGACCUCAUUGCUUCUAACAAGCAUAGAGCCAUAGACCAUAUUAAUUCCAAUUACUUAAAUCUUCAUUUUUAUCAUGAUUUUGGAUCUCGAGCAAUGUGGAUAUAUCCAACCAGAUCCACCUCACUGGCAUCCCAAUAGAUUUUAAAUUGAGUAAUGAGUAUCAAUAAACGUGUAAUUGUAAAUCUACAACGUUUAAUUUUAAUUUGAGGAUUCAAAUGAAUUAUUCCAGCAGUACCUCGUUAAAUUAAUAUUCCAUAAAUUUUUAACUUUAAUUAAAUAACAAAUUUUGUCCGUCCCAACUUAAGAUUAACGUGGUAAUUAAUAAUUUGAUAAAUUAUUAGAUAAUAAUUUUUUAAAAAUCUUAUUUUUUUUAUUGGAUCCAACUGAUAUAUAAAUUAAUAAUUAAUUAAUUUUAAAACUAAAUUCAUGUUAUGUCAAUCAAAUGUUAUUGCAAAGAAGACUAGUAGUGACGCUUUGAAAGGUAGAGCUGGCAAAAUUUGACACGACUUGAUUACCCGACACGAACACGACAUAAAUAAAUGGGUAUGGGUCGUCAAAUUUAACACGAUUAUUAAAUGGGUCGGGUCCGGGUCAACACGAUUUUUUUCCGUGUCGGGUUAGGAUUAAAAUUCUUGACCCAUUUACCCGAUCAAUGACCCGAUUAUAUUUUCUAUUUUAAAAUAAUUUACAUAUUCUUAUAAUUACAACUCAAAUAUUAGAGAUGAUUUUCUUUUUUUUUAAUUCUUUAAAAGGGUGAAUAUAAACACAGUGUUUUAUUUAUAAAAUUUUACAUACAUUUAGAGUUUCAAUAGUGUAAAUGUGUAAAAAUUGAUAGACAUGUAUAUUUUAUAAUAUUGAUAUAUAAUAUUAUAUAUAUAUAUAUAUAUAUAUAUAUAUAUAUAUAUAUAUAUAAUUAAAACCUCAAUAGUGUAAAUGUGUAAUAUAUUGGUAGAUAUGUAUAUUUUAUAAUAUCGAUAAAUUAUGUAUGUAUGUAUGUAUGUAUGAUAGUGUGUAAAUAUUUGAUGUAACUUUUGUUCAAUAUAUAGAUAUUAAACGGGUUAUUAGGUAACCUGAUUAUUUUCCGUGUCGGGUUUGGGUCUUAAUAUUUUGACACGAUUAUUAAAUGGGUCGGGUUUGGGUCGACUUAAAUUUGAUACGACACGAAGCUGACACGACACGAACACGACCCGAUGACCCGUUUUGCCAGCUCUAUUGAGGUACACCAAAGCCUUUUUCACCAUUUCAACGUCAUGACAUGAUGUAAGUUUCUUUUGUGGAAUUUGUGAAUUGGUGCUGCAGAAGUUAAUGAUACAUGUAACCAGCCAACCCUUGUCAAGUCCGCUUGACUCUUAAAUUUUUGUCACUUUCACUCCGUUCAAAGGCAUGUGAAAGCUAAUUUUUAAUGAAUUUUGAAUUGAGUGUUGGAUAUUUUGGGCUUAUCAAAACUAGAUUAUAUAUAUUUUUAAUGAAUUUUAGAUUCAGUGUUAGAUAUUUUGGGUCUUAUCUUUAAGUAAUCUUUUACACGCAUACAUUUAUAUCAUUGUAUGGUUAUAGAUUCAAUUACUUUUAUGACGCAUUUACUAAACUCGAAUUGAAAUAAGUAAGAAUGAGAAUGUGCUGCAAUGAGAAUGGAGAACCGAAAUUAGAAUAAGUUAUUUACUUGUAAUAUAGGAAUCAGAAUGAUCUGAAUUGCCAUUAAUGUGUUUACUUUUUCUUAGAAUUAGAAUUGAAAUAAGUUAGAUUGUAAUAAAUUACUAAAAACUAUUUAAUGAACUAUUGUAAUAAUUAUUAUUUUGUAUUUUAAUUAUUGUGAUUAUUUAUUAAAAAUUAUUAUUAUUAUAUUGUUAAUAGGAUAUUAAUAUAUUAAUAAAUUAUAAUAAUAUAUUAAAAAAUACACUUGUAUUUACAAGAAAUGACGGAUACAAUUUUAAAAUCGUCUUCCUCCCUAAAAGUCUGAUUGCCACAGCCCUAAAAAUUAAUAAGAUUGGGGAAUUAUGUGUUUUUUAAAAAAUAUUAAAGGGUGUUCAUUUCCUUAAACGGUGGGGGCUAAAAGUCCUUUUCCCAAAAGAGUACUGUGCCAGUGUUGGUGGCUAGAAGGAAAAAUCGUUACAUUGCUCCAGAAGUGCUUGAUAGAAAUUUCGGUGAGGCGUCACAUAAUUUAAAGGCUAUGUUUUUUUUUUUUUUAUAAUCCACCAAGAAGGUGGGGUUAGGCCGGACUCCUACGUAUAAAUAAAUCAAUCAAUGAAAGAACAUAAGGAGGGGGACAUAAACCAAACCUCCCAGGAAAAGUAAAUAAUUUAGUAAUCAAAUAAAAUCAAUACAAAUCAAGGUGAUUAAUGCCGAAUGUAUGGAAUUCCAAGAGUAUCCAAAUGAAGAAUGCCUGAUAAACCGCUUGGAAGAUCACUAGCAUUGAAAAAUCGUUGACAAGUCUGAUGGGUACAAGCCUAAUUGGCCAUAAAGUCAACAGCAGAUGUAGCUUCUCGAAAAACAUGCCUGAUACUAAUGGAUGACCUAGAAGCCAAUGUCCAAACACACCCAAGGAUGUAAGUAAAAUCCCAUCGCACGAAACUACUUGAAAUGGCCUAAGAAACUACAGUGGCUGAAUCAGAUUCUACCUCAAGAUCAGAAAAACCAAGCUGAGUAGCAAGAUCUAAACCUUCUAACACAACCAUUAAUUCAACAAAAAGAAUAGAUUGGUGUCCCAAAAAGGAACCAAAAGCAGCUAAUAUCAUGCCUUGAUGAUCUCGCAAAACACCACCAGUAGCAGCCAUGCCUGAGUUUCCCCUAGAACAACCAUCCACACUCAACUUCACCACCCUCGGUGGCGGUUUCAUGUUGGAGCACAAAUCUCAACCACACACGCAAAGUGAUAAAUAAUAAAAAACUUAUUAUAACUUUGAUCGUAUGGUUAUGAAGGGAUGCUCUACCUUAGAGAAACUCCAACAUAGCCAAACCUUAAUUUAAAUUACUGGAAUUAGCUAUGCACACACACAAGCAGUUCGAGCAGGAUAAUGAAUUUAAAUUACUCGGAAUUGUAAGCAGAGAUGAAAGAGAAAUUACAAAGAAGAUGAUUAUUUUUCGCUUGUGGUGUAUAUAGAAUCGUCUAUCGGAAAUAGAGGGAGAGAAAUGUUACUGCACAGAAGCAGACUAGCAGUGACGCCUUGAAUAAGUCCGCCAAAGCCUCUUGCAUCUUCUCCUCCAACACCGCCAAUAGAGUCCGUUUGACUCAUAAAUUUUUGUCGCUUUCAUUCUUUUCAAAAGCACGUGAAAACUAGCUUAUAGGAUUUUGGAUGGACAAUCACUCUUUUCAAAAGCAUGUUAAAGCUAAUCUUCAAUGAAUUUUAGGGCUUAUUUUUAAGUAAUCUUUUAGCAUGCAUGCAUUUAUGCAAUCAUGUGAUUAUAUAUUCAAUUACUUUUAAAGUAGAAAAAAUUACUUCUCUUAAAAGCAACAGCGGGGCACGUAUUGCAAUUUGUAGUAGUUAAUUCUUGGAUGAAAUUUACUAAAGUAUAGUCUUGUAAAAGAAUUAGUUUUCUUAAAUUGUAAUCUCGUUUAUGAUUGGGAGAUUUUGAUCAAAAUUAAUAUGAUAAAUUCGUUGCAAGUGUUGUUCUUGAAGUCUCAUCUUCCGUGAUGUUUGUAAAAUCAAGGUUUUACCAUCUCUGAUUAAAUAUUUAGUCUUGAUUUCGGCCACGUAAUCUGGACUUGACGAAAGAUUAUGAUCUUAUGUGAUUUUAUGAAUGUGGUCUUACCUCUUAUAAGUCAGCAAUGAAUUAAUUAAAGCUUGCUGACAAAUUAUAAGCUCAAAAACCGCUGCUGCUUCAUUAAUCAUAUUACCCAAAUUCAUUGCAGAACUCAUCAUAAGUUUUCCGAGAAUUUUAAGCUUUAUUUUGGCUUCAUUCAUGUACUCCCUUUGUAGAUCCCAAAGACAUGUUUAACUUUAGUUUAGGGUAACAAAGCUACAGCUUUUUCUGCUGUGUGCAACAAGCGAAGAAAGUGAAAUUGUAAAGAAUACGAUCGAUUACUGAUACGAAAACAUAAAGAUUGAUAAUUUUUAGAGAAAUAAAGCUCCUAAAUAAUUAGAAUAUUAUUCAUAAGUCUUAAUAAAUAAAACUAGAAUUUUGGUUCUUUUUACACCAACCCUAAAUAUCUUGAAUUUAUUAAAAUAGGAAAACGAGAAAUAUUUUUUUGUAGUAAAAUUCUCUAGUCUAAAUAAGCAAAAUUUUAAUGUCUGAAGAAAAAAGAAGUAAAAAUUCUGAAAGCAAUUAAAAAAAAAAAGCAAAAUAACUUAAAAUUGCAAAAUAAUCAAGAAAGAAACGGAACUUUUGGCUCAAAUACAGGGUAGAACAACUUAAACAAUUUUUAUAUUUUAGUUUAUCUUAUCGCAAGUUUUGAAAAGAUGUAUUAUAAGUUCUAAACAAACAGCUAUCCCUACAAAGUACCAUGGUCAUUCAAUGUAACUACCCUACAUCAAUUAUUGUUGGUUUGUGGUGUAUCCAGACCUUUCCAUCGGAUGGGCUGUCCACGAAUACAGUGAUAGAAAUGUUAUUGCAAAGAAAAAUACUAGCAGUGACGUUUUGAAAAUUCCACCAAAGUCUUUUGCAUCUUCUCCUCCAGGACCGCCAAUAGAGUAUAGAGUACGUUUGACUCAUAAAUUUUUGUCACUUUCACUCUUUUCAAAAGGACGGGAAAGCUUAUCGAACGGACCACCAAUCUUUAAUGAAUUUUGGAUUCAGUGUUGAUAUUUUGGGCUUAUCAAAGCUAGAGUCCGUUCGACCCAUAAAUUUUUGUCACUUUCACUCUUUUCAAAAGCAUGUUAAAGCAGACCUUCAGUGAAUUUUUUAUUCGCGUACCUUUAAGUAAUCUGUGCAUUUAUAUAAUUAUGCGGUUAUAGAUUCAAUUACUACUUCUCUUGAAAGUGAAAGCAGGGCAGAUAUUGUAACGCAGCUGCUAUUGGUAGCAAUUAAUUCUUGGAUGAAAUUUACUAAAGUAUAGCCUUGUUAAAGAACUAGUUUUCUUAAAUUGUAAAUGGUCCCCUUUAUGAUGGGGAAAUUUUGAUCAAAUCUGAAAGAAAGCUUGAAAAAUAUAUUGAAACUAUAAUGAAAUUUUAUGUUUGAUUUAUAUUACAAAUGUGGGUCCAGCUAUGUUACCUAGAGUUGGCAAAACGGGUCAUCGGGUCGUGUUCGUAUCGUGUCAAAUUUAGGUCGAUCCAAACCCGACCCAUUUAAUAAUCGUGUCAAAAUAUUAAGACCCAAACCCGACACGGAAAAUAAUCGGGUUACCCAAUAACCCGUUUAAUAUCUAUAUAUUGAACAAAAGUUACAUCAAAUAUUUACACACUAUCAUACAUACGUAUGUACAUACACAUAUACAUACAUACAUACAUACAUACAUACAUAAUUUAUCGAUAUUAUAAAAUAUACAUAUCUACCAAUAUAUUACACAUUUACACUAUUGAGGUUUUAAUUAUAUAUAUAUAUAUAUAUAUAUAAUAUUAUAUAUCAAUAUUAUAAAAUAUACAUGUCUAUCAAUUUUUACACAUUUACACUAUUGAAACUCUAAAUGUAUGUAAAAUUUUAUAAAUAAAACACUGUGUUUAUAUUCACCCUUUUAAAGAAUAAAAAAAAGAAAAUCAUCUCUAAUAUUUGAGUUGUAAUUAUAAGAAUAUGUAAGUUAUUUUAAAAUAGAAAAUAUAAUCGGGUCAUUGAUCGGGUAAAUGGGUUAAGAAUUUUAACCCUAACCCGACACAGAAAAAAAUUGUGUUGACCCGGACCCGACCCAUUUAAUAAUUGUGUUAAAUUUGACGACCCAUACCCAUUUAUUUAUGUCGUGUUCGUGUCGGGUAAUCGGGUCGUGUUAAAUUUUGCCAGCUCUAAUUGCACACUUAACUAAAUUAACUAAAUUGACUUUUGUUAUUCCACCCCAACAUUUAAAUAGUCAUUAGCACACAUUUAAAGUAUUUCAUUAACUUAGUUAAAGAAGGGUAAAAAAAAAAAAAUCUAAACAAUUACUCUAUUUGAAAAUAAUUUAAAUAUUUCUUUAUUAGUUUUUUGUAACUAAAAAGAAGAGUAAUAAUUUUAUUUUAUUAUUUUGUUUCUAUAUUGUAAAUAAUUUUAAUUAUCUUUUAAUAUUAAUCAUUUUAGGAAAAGUAAAUAAAAAAUAAGAUUUUUUUAUGUAAAACACAUUAAUUAGUUUUUCAUAUUAUAAAAUGCAUAGUGAUUUAUAAUAAAAAUUAAAUAUGCAUGUUUACCCUUACAAUAUAUAUUUAUAGCCUCCUGAUUACAUUCUUGUCGGAUUAAUGGUUAAGUGCUAGAAAACAGAACCAUGGCCAUGACCAAUUUUUUUUUUUUUAGUUUGGUAGUGAAAUUGAUUUUUUUCCUUCAAUUCGAACAAUUUAUGCAUUCUCUUCUCUACAUAUCUUGCAAUAAAAAAAGAAAAAAACUUACAUUGUCUAAAUUGACAAGUCUAUGAUGUCGGAGUAUUGUAUUCAUGUCGGCAUCUUUGAAGUGCUUCUGAAAUAGAUUGUGGCUUCCAAAAACAUCAAUAUAAUUGAAAAUUUUUAGGUGCAGGACUAAUGUGUGAAAAUAUAGAAGUCUUUAGCUUUUUUGUUCUUUAAACAAAUAAAUGGACUCCAUUACAAUUAACCUUGAAAAAGACAAAAAAAAAAAGGGGUACUAAACCCAUGUGGCAACGUAGUUUUGGCCUUGAAGAUAAUAUAGAAGAAGAUCAGAGUUUAUAUAAAUUGAGAUUCUUUUUGGCACUUAGAUUUUUAUUUAAAAAAUAUUGUUUGUGUUAUUAUUAAGAGGAAAAAUAUAAAUAAAUGAAUCUAAGUCUUAUAAUAUUAUAGUUGCUAUGUGUCAUAAUCAUAUUAAAAGGUUUGAAAAAAUUAGAUUAGGUGAGGAUUCAAUUCCUCCUUGAAGACCGCUAAUAGAAUUGGUUUCACUCAUAAAUUUUUGUCACUUUCACUCUUUUCAAAGGUGCGUGAAAACUAGGUUAUAGAAUUUUGGAUGGACGAUCACUCUUUAUCAAAGGACUACCAGUCUUUAAUGAAUUUUGGAUUCAGUGUUGAUAUUUUGGGCUCAUCAAAGCUAGACUAUAGAUUUUUUUUUUUUUAAGAAUUUUGAAUUCAAUGUUGAUAUCUUGAGCUUAUCUUUAACUAAUUUUUUACCACCCGUGCAUUUAUGUUAUUGUACGGUUAUAGAUUCAGUUAUUUUUAAAGUAGAAAAAUUACUUCUCUUAAAAGUGAAAGCAGGGAAUGCAGACGCUAUUUGUUGUAGUUAAUUCUUGGAUGAAUGUUAGAGUAUAAUUUAUACACUAGUUUUGCAUUGUUUAUUUCUCUUAAUAUCGAUAUUUUGCAUUUAAUAAUAGUGAUUUACUUGUAUUUUACUUUUGUAGGUGUAAUUCUAUUGAUUGGUGAUAAAAUUGAGCUACAAGAUGAUAUUUUAGGGUGAUUGUUUUCUUAGAGAAAGUAUGAGCCUCAGAAGAACUUUGUUGAUAAGGCGUGAGCGCGUGCUGUCAACUACGGACCUGCAGUUUUUAGUUUAACGUGUUUUGUAUUUUUGGUUAUUUUUGUAAUUACGAAUUUAAUAUUUCAAAUAUUAGUAUUUUAUUUUAAAUAGAAUUCUAGAGGAGAAGAGAGAGAGAGUAUUUAAGGGAGGAAUCUAUAUUGAAAAAGGGGGGACUGGAGAAAAAGAAAGAAACCCUAGAUCUAAACUUUUCUCUUCUCUCUAUGAAGAACUAAACCUAUUUUUCUGGUUGAAGGUUAAUGAAGCUUUGAUUCAUCACUACUGUGAGAUCUUUCUUAUGCUUUAAUUGUUUUAUUGCUUUUUGGGUAUUUGUUUAUUCUCUGAAUUAUUUUCAUGAUUAUGUUUGUUAAUUAGGUAAUUGGCCACUAUUUAAUUAUCAACUUAAUCUAUUGUCAAUUAAAGGAUUCAUCGUAUGAAGAUUUUAAUGUUUGUGACAAAUAACAUAGCAGAGAGUUGUGUUGUGAGAAUAAACAAUCUAAUUUAAAUGAACUAUCGUAUGUGUUUGUUGAUUAGGAUUUGGGUCUCUCUGGUUUUUCAGGCUGUCAAUUGAUUAAAUCUUAUGAUCGUAUCUAGGGUUGUCUAUUGAUUAGGGAAAUAACCAACGGUUAUACCUUGGUUAUCGACUAGUUAAGGAGAGAUUGGCUAUUAGAGGGUCUCAGUAGCUAUAACCGAUCUAUUCAUAAGUAAUAAUAAUUUAUAUUUGAAUCAAUGAUCAGUAGUCGAAUCAAGCUGAGUUAAUUCCUUCAACCAUAGCUUUCUCCAAUUUGAAUUACAACUUUAAUUUGCAUUCUUGUUAUUUUAAUUUAAUUUUUAUUACUGUCAACAAAACCCCCAUUUUAUGUUUUACGUUUUAAAAGGAUUUAAAUAAUUACCGAUCUCUGUGGACACGAUCCUGCUCAAUCACUAUACACAAUUUGUUUAGAGUAGGUAUUUAUUUUCGUUGGCUUCGACAACCAUCAAUGAAAUUUGGGUCUUGCUAUAAUACAUGCAUGUAUCACAUACAUGCGAGGAAUAAAAAAAUUAAAAAAAACAUUGCCAAACAUUUGAAAAAAAAAACUGGAGCAACCGGUAAAGAGCAACAGGUUGUGCCUUAAACAAUUAAAAAAUUAUGAAACAAUAUAAUAAAUAAAUAUAAUAAACAAAAUAAUAAUAAAAUAAUAAUAAUUUAAUAAUAAAGGCUAGAUAACUAUAAAAAAAUAGUUUCAAAUUUAAUGGUAUCAGUAUCAAGUUAACGAUAGGUGUUUCGUGUUUAUUGGUCUACUAAUUGCAUGAUUUUCAAGGUUGCAAGUGAAUGAUCCCAAGUUCCAUGUUCAUUGCCCUCAGUUUCAAGUUCUUUUAGUUUCAAGUUUAAUGGUCCCAGUAUCAAGUUAACGAUAGGUGUUUCAUAUUUAUUGGUUCAUUAAUUGCAUGAUUUUCAGGAUUACAAGUUAAUUAUUCCAAGUUUCAUGUUCAUUGCUCUUAGUUUCAAGUUCCUUUGGUUUCAAGUUUAAUGAUCUCAGUAUCAAGUCAAAAGUAAGUGUUUCGUUUUUAUUAGUCCAUUAUUUGGAAGAUUUUUAGGGUUGCAAGUUAAUGAUCUAUGGUUUCAAGUUAAUGAUCCUAUAUUUCAUAUUCAAUGCCUUAAGUUUCAAGUUACUCUUGUUUCAAGUUUAAUGGUCCUAAUUUCAAAAUUAAUGAUAGGUGUUUCAUAUUUAUUGGUUAUAGAAGAUUUUCAGAAUUACAAGUUAAUGAUCCUAUGUUUCAUGUUCAUUGCCCUAUGUUUCAAGUUACUUUGAUUUCAAGAUUAAUGGUAGGUAUUUCAUAUUUAUUAGUCCAUCAUUUGGAAGAUUUUCAAGGUUGCAAGUUAAUGAUUUCUAGUUUCAAGUUAAUGAUGGUAUAUUUCAUGUUCGUUUUCAUAAGUUUCAAGUUACUUUAGUUCAAAUUUAAUGGUUUCAAUUUCAAAAUUAAUGGUGGGUGUUUCAUAUUUAUUGGUCCAUUAUUUGGAAGAUUUUCAAAGUUGUAAGUUAAUGAUCUUUGGUUUCAAGUUAAUGAUCUUAUGUUUCAUGUUCAUUACCCUAAGUUUCAAGUUACAUUGGUUUCAAAUUUAAUGGUCUUGGUUUUAAGAUUAAUGAUAGGUGUUUAUAUAUUUGUUGGUCUAUUAUUUGCAAAAAUUUUAGGGUUGUAAGUUAAUGAUCCUAUUUUUCAUUCUCAUUGCCCUACGUUUCAAGUUACUUUGAUUUUAUAUUUAAUGGUCCAAAUUUUAAGAUUAAUGAUAUGUGUUUCAUAUUUAUUGGUCUACGAUUUGUAUAUUUUUAGGAUUGCAAGUUAAUGAUUCUAAGUUUCAUGUUUAUUGCGCUAAGUUCCAUGUUAUUUUGGUUUUAGCUUAAUGUCUUAAUCUCAAGAUUAAUGGUAUGCAUUUCAUAUUUAUUGGUUUAUGAAAUGACAUGCAUUCUAUCAUGAAAUUUAUGAUAGUUUUUUCAAAUCACAUAUUUGUCACACCACAAUUUCGUGAUUACUUGAAUUUCUUGCAGGCUUUUAAAUUUUUCAUGGGAAAUUUAAAAUUUUCAGUGAAUUUAAAUUUAGUUUUGAUAGGAAAAUUGAAUUGGAAUAUGAGACAUUUUAUGACUGAUACUUACUAUCACAAAUUUUGAUUUUUUUAAAUUUAAAUAAUUUUAUUUCCUAUUUUUGACAUUUAAAUCAUAAAACCACUAUGAAAGAAAAUAAACCUGUAUAUUCAAUUAAAUCAGAAAAUAGAUAACUUAAUAUCAAUUAAAAUCCAAAGUACAGCCAAAUAUCGAGCAAUCAAGUUACGUUAGUUUCAUGUUUAAUAGUCCCAACGUCAAGAUUAAUGGUUGCAUUUCCAAAUAAUUAGGAACAACUCAAGUGUGCAAUAAGAGAUUUCAUGUUCAAUGACUAACAUGGUCUUUAAUGUAAGUAAUUUAAGAUUAUCAUUAGUUUCAUUUUUAAUGUUCAGAUUUCAUAUUCAUCGGAAUGUUAUUAUAGAGAUGAUUUAAAUAUAAAUAUAGCAACAAAUAUUGUAAUUGGUACAAUAUCAGAAUGAAUUACAUAGGUAAGGCAUGUGUAUAUGAUGACCAAUCGAAGGAAGAACAAGGACUCUGUAUGACUGUAUGGUAGAGUUAAAAGAGAAAAUAUGACAUACUCUAAUACGCUCGUUAGUGACUUAUAUUAGUCUUUCACCUAAUGCUGUAAUAUGUUCAAUAGAGACUUGGUGUUUGUUUUAUAAUGUACUUAUCAUUUAAGUUUAAUAUUAUGUAUUAAAAUUAUUUAUGUGUAGUUUGAAAUUCUAGCUAAGCAACCCAAGAGCGGAGUGAAUUGAGUAUGCAAAAAAUUGGAUAAUAAUAUCACAAAACAAUUCUAGCAAAUAGUUUAAAGAAUUCAAUAACAAUAAAUACAACAAUGAAUAAACUUGCAAAGAUAAAGAGAAAGAGAAUAAAUAUAAGAUUUUUAUGUGGUUCGGCAAACCUCGCCCACGUCCAUGCCUUCAAGUAAAUUGAGGUUGAGGAUUUCACUAUCCAAACCUCACAAUCUAAGGUUUCAAGAUAUUUAUAAUUGACUUCCAAAAUGUCAAAAAAUCUUUACAAGUUCAGAUGAACAUUUACCUCUUUUCUCAAGUUAUCGUUAUGACUAAAUUUGAAAAUAUUGCACAAAUGGAUCGCUGCUUGGAAAUUUUCAAAUAUUGUAUUUCAAUCCUACAUACUCACCCAAUCAUAGUCAGUUUACCGCUUGAAGUUAAUGGUUCACCGUUUGAAUUCCAAAAACCUAAUUUAGCCAAAAACAUUAUGAAACUCGAUCAGGCCUAUUUACAAUUUACAAAGUGUAAUUUUUCUACUUUGCGUCAUUAAUAAACGUAAACUUUUGAGAAUGUCAAAAGGGUGGUUUAGAUUUAUCAUUGCUUGUUAAAAGCAUCGAUUUUCAAUCAAAUAGGUAUCAAUCUUCCACCAUUGAUAAUUUAAUUACAUUUAAGGAUAAAAUAAUCACCUUUUGCUAAAAAUCUCUAACAUUGUUGCAAAGGAAAAAAAAAUGAAAAUUGAUAUGAUUUGUAAAUUUCAAGUAGACUGUUAAAUUCAAUUCUUGUAGGCUUUUUGAGAUUGCAGAAAACAGCAGGUUGACAAUUCAUAAUUUUCCAAUAGAAUUUAUUUUUUUUCCAACUUUGACAAAUGUUAUUUUUUUAUCAACUAAUGAGAAACAAGAAAUGAAAUGCUUCAUAUGAGAAUCAACUUUCUCUAACGAUUUAAAUUUCUCAUGAUUCUCUUAACAAUUUAAAUUUAUAGGAGACUACAUGAAAUACAUUGCUGGGAAGGAGGCAUGGGGAUUGAUUUUCACUGUUCUUCAUCACUAUCAUCGCCAAACACUGAGGCAACAGCUAGUUUUGGCUUUCUCUGCAGCACUUCCAGUUGCGUUCUGCACAAGAAGCAAAGAAAAUCAGAAGAUAGUUGUCAGUUCUAUUCACCAAAAUUGCUUUUAAUGGGUAAGUGCAUCACAAGAAGCAAGAAAGUUAAUACAUGAUUGAAAGAAAUAAUAUCCCUAAGAAAAUCGUGAGCAUCAUCUUUUAGCGUAUAUUAAUCCAGGUUGCCCCGGAAAAGAAUAUCCAAUCAUCAAACAGCCUUUUGCAUUAUCUAUCAGCUAUACCUAUUCUGGCGAUUCUGUAUAAACCAAAUUUAACAAAACAACAUGUAGCAUUUUAUUGCGGCUCUAGAUUAUGAAGAUCUCAUAAUCUGAAACCUAUUUUCAGGCUAAUGAUAUAACUUGAACAUAUAGGACAACAAUUAGUCAAGAAUGGUUAAAAUGCAGGGGACUUCAGAACAUAGAACUGUAUAUUUGGCCAGUAAAAGAAAAAUCUAUUUAUAAAAAACAAGAACUAAGCAUACAAGCAAUAAGAAAAUAGUUAAAUUAUUUAGUUAUGAAUUAGAUGUGUCUACUAAUGGCAACCAAACUCAAAUUACUCAGAGGGAAUUGAACAAAGGAGUAAAUCAAUAAACUUCAAUUAUUUAUAGACUUCUGCAUGUUUUGAUAUUUCAUAAAUUAUUUAUCGUACUUGAAUAAACUUCAGCAUUUAAACAAAAAUAUUGAUAAUAUUUGUCUACAGAAAUCAAUGUUGUUCAUGUAUAUCUUUAGCAUGAAAGCCCUCUAUUGUGAAGAACUCAAGAAAGCAGAUGCAAAAGGGAACCAAGUCAUAUAUCAUAGAUGCACAGAUGAAUGUAUUUAUCCAUUUUACAAAAUUUUUAUAAUGAAAAGAAACUGAAGAAGGCAGGUUCAAAAGGGAAUCAUAUUUGCACCAGCAAGUAGAAAAAUAUGCCAAUACUAAAGCAAUAUAGGCCACCAAGAUCUGCAAGGAAGAUCACUGCAUGGCGAAGAAAGAAUACAGCAUUUUAAUACCAGUGUUCAGCCUAUCUUCAACAAAAAAAAAUUUAUAGAAGAGCAGAAAGCUGCAACAGCAGAGACAGAAUACCUAUCUAUCAAAGUCAAUGCAAAGAACUACAAGACUAAAGCUGCAACAGCAUAGAUCGGAUCCACAAGAUAGCAUUAUCUCUUUAAAGAAAGACCAUUUUACGACAUUGUACGCAUUAUCUCUUUCUACAGAAUAUCAUGAUAUUUAAAUAAAGAACAUAUUUUUUAUAAGUAAAAAAGAUCACUCAAAAAGCUCAAUACUUUAAAACCAGUUAAGCAAUUUAACUCUUCCCAAAUACCACAAUACGGAAAUAUGAUUCACACAACAUUACACAAAAGCUAGGAAUAGAUUUAGAAUAUGAUCCUAAAGAAACUCACUUUAGUUCAUGAAUGCCACCAAUAAGGUACAAACAUAGAAAAAAAAUAAUUUUUUUUUCCUAAAAUUUUAUGGUUUUCUAGCUAGGAAAUUCAUUCCAAGUACAUUCAUUCAACAAACUAGGACCAAGUAUUCUUUCGGCUUUCAGAACCUCAGUUUUCCAGCUUUAAUGACAGAAACAGAAUCAUAUUCCUGAAUAUCAUUCGAAACGAAUUUCAAUAUCAAUCAAGCAUUUUCCUUUCCUUUGUUUCCUUGAUAUAAAAAUGAAGUCUUUGAAAGCUUUAACAUAAAACGAGUAAACAAGUUGAGAGGAUACUGAGUUCAGCUAUAUUAACAAUUCAAAACUAAUUCCAUUAAAAAACCAGUGUUAUUACUUCAAAUAUAUCACAUCUAAUACACUGAAUAUUCAUAAAGAAGUAAAUCAUUCAUAAUACUUUUGCAGAGCGUUAUGAUUUCAACCAGUUUUACGAAACAGCUACAACCAGAAUAUCAAAUUAUAACUAGAAAGAGACCUGACGAAGGCCACCACCGAGCUUGAUGGUCUGGUUUGUCAUGCUAGCACUACUAGAAAAAUGGUCUUUGCUGAUACUUAUCUUGUGACACUUAAUUAAAAAGUAUCAGUAAUUACAUGUGUUUGGGGCAUUUUCCGUGUUUAACAGAUAAGUAUUACAAAUUUUCAAUACUAUAGUGUCUGUAAAUUAAGUAUCACAAAUAUGUGACAUUAAGGUAUCAGUAAUUAAAAAAAUAAAAUUUUAAUUUUGUAUCCACUGGGAGUCGAACCGCAGGCUUCUAUACUUUAACUUUUUAAUUUUAAACAUUAAGCCACCAAACCACAAGUUGCAUUUUUACUUAAUAAACAAUAAUUAUUAAAAAUUAAAUUAAAUUAUCUAGAAAGUAGAAACUAUGUCGUUUUAAUGAGGUGUACAUGGAAACCUAAAAUCUAAAAAUUUUGACGAGCAAAAAAUCUAUCCCCACCGCCACUUUCUUCUUUGAACCGAAGCUCUCUUCUCUCUCUCUCACCCCUCUCUCUCUAACAACGGUCUACCUCACAAGUCGUUGCUGUAAACCUUCAAAAUAAGCCGCCAUCCUUGAGCUAAAAUACCCUUGGAAAAAAGCCUAGAAAGUGUUGUGAAGAACUUGGCCAAAGUUAAGGUUCGAAAGUCAGAUUAAAAAAAUUAGGGCUUUUUUUUUUUAGGGGUAUUUUAUUGUUUUUAAUGUUGAGUUCAGAGAGGCCAUCGACAUUGUGGGGGUUUAAGACAAGGGGAUUGGGCCCUGCAGAGCCAAGAAGGCAAGUUAGAGGCGAUUCCUUGAUGAGAAUGCUAAUGCUUCUGAAAUGGAUUUUCUUGGAGGAGACCUUGCUGUUUCAGCCUUUGCAGAUCUUUCUUUUGAUCUUCCAUUGAGGUGGUUUAGAGAAAAAGGAAUUCAUGGACAUCUUUUUGCAUGUGCUGGGAACGUUGCCAAGUUAAUAGAGAAUGAAUACGGAAUUUCUCUUUGCCAAAGUUUUUGGAGUCAACUCGAAGUUCUGCUGGAGCUGGGAUUGUUUUUCCCACAAACCUAUUCCGCCUGGAGGUGAGUUAUCUGUUCUGUUGAGUUUAUGGAAUUUAAGCAACAUAUGAUGCUUUGAUCUGGGUGGUUGUAUGAUUGAGGAAAGAUAUAUGAUGCAUUAUCAAUCAAGGAUCUGAAGGUAUCUUGGCCUUAGUAAAUGGUCAUUUAGAGUUCUUCAGGACCAGUUUUUUCUUUGAAAAAUAAUUAUGAUUGAACACUGUCUUAAAAUGAUUAAAAGUUAAUUCAUUUCGGAAUAAAAGGAGGUCCUAUACUUCCAUAAUCAAGAAUUGUUAAGGGAAAUAUUUGAUUUUUACUUUGUGGGUCAUUAUCCAUAAGUAAUAUUUGCAAACAUGUAACUCUAUAAUUGGGAAAGUUGAUUUUUGGGUAUUUGUCAAACAUUUAAAUAUGUGGGGGACUAUCCCAUUGAACUAGUAGAUAUUUGUAUGGAUGUCCAUUGAGCUUUUGUUUAACUUCAAAUGUCUACUUCUUGAGUCAUUACUUCUAUAUAUGUAAAUCCUAGUUUAAAGUGCCUGCAAAGAGGUGAUUGUUUCUAUUUCCAUGCUUAAGUUCAUCAUGAAGUUUCCUUUGAUAAACUUGCAGUAGAAAACAUGGAGGGGAAUGAGUAGGGAAAGAGCAUUACAUUGUUGGUCAGAUUUAGGAAAUGCUUGAUGGAGUGCCCUUCUUAUACCUCUUCAUUUUUUUGGACUUGGCUUGUAAAUUGUAUUAUCACCUUGCCAAAUAGAAGUCAAUUUUUAGUCCUUGUUUUUCUUCCUUUAAUCUAAGAUUGAAUAACUUUUCGCAUGAAUACCUCCAUAUUUAGAAAAUUUGUAAUUAUUAUUCAUUGAUUUAUUUAUAAUAGAGCAUUUGUGAUAGCUUUUAACUAUGCACAAAAAUCAUUUGGUAUAUGUAGAUAGAGUAACAUGCUUGUGCUGAAAGUAGAUAUUACAUUGAAAACUUCUUGUCUGCUAUAGUUUGCUAUAUAUAUAACCUUUACCAAAAGAGAAUAAUUGAGUUUAUUUAUAAAUAGCUUAUGAGUAUUUUUUUCUUUCGAACAAAAUAAUUUUAGUUCUGUUAAUUGUUGUUUCUCUAAUGGCUCGAUAUUGGCAGCUAAUUUUUUUUUUCUUUUCCAUGUAUUCAUAUGCAGAUUUGAUCAAUGUGUUUGAAGUGUUUAUUCUUCAACUUCACUUAUAUCCUAACCUAUACAGUCUAUUGAAUAGAGAAGCUGCUGGUGGAUAACGCAAUUAUACUACUCAUAUUCAAAGAGUGAAAGGCAGUCAUCCUUGUCAAUUUAGCUUAUAGAUUUAUUAAAUUUAGCCACAAGUAGUAGGCAUUUGAUUGGAUAGUAGAAAUUUUUAUGUAUUGAAUUUGGAUUAUUUAGUUAUGAGAGUAGGAUAUCUCAUAUUUUUGUUAUUAAAGUUUUGGAAUUUGUAAUAUAUACUAAUAAUAUUUAAAUGUGAAAUGAAAGAUUUUAUGAUAUAAAUCAAUUUCUUUUUGUUAUUUUGUGGUGCCUUUUAAUUUUCUGAAUAAAUCAAUAGGCAAUGAUCCAAUUUAAUUUUUUAUUUUUUUAAAAUAAAUUAACUAGUGAUACCAUGGUAACAGUAAUCAUAGACACUAAUAAAAUAUCAAUAACUACUAAUACUAUGGUGUCAUAAUAUCGGUGAUACUGUAGUAAUAGUAAUUACUGACACCACUUACAAGUGUCAUUAUUUUUCUAACUCCCAGAUUACUGACACAAUUAACAAGUGUCAGUGAAAGUAAUUUCUGACACUAUUCUAAAGUCAGUAAAGACUAUUUUUCUAGUAGUGUAGAUAGGUCAAGCACCGCGUCACCUGGAACCUAAAAUUGUUAAAAUAGUUAAAAAUAAUUAAUUUAAAAAAAAAAUAAGUAAGCGCAUAAAAAAGAACAGAAGAAACACAAGAAAAAAAAUACAAACCACUAUCUUAUCAACAAAGUUCGCUGUUGGCUCGUCUUCAUGAAAAUACCAAAGGGCUUGAACGGUAUUUUCGCAACAACUUUCCCCUCUAGAGGCCAAACACGACAAACAGAACGAGGGCGACAACGGCGCCGGAUUUGAACUUGAACAACGACGUAUCGCGGCUGAAUUCUUUAAGGCUGGUCUCGACACGGUCAAUCUUUUUGGUCUUGGACUUUUUGGCGGAGAUUUUAGCUGGGUUUUCGAUUUUCAUAGUCUCGAGUUCUUGACGGCUUUGUCGAUCGAGGAUUUGAGGGAUUUGUAAGAGUUGGUUCGCUAAAUGAGAAGCCACGAGGUUGAUUCGCAAAUGAUGACGUGCUUGUAAAUGGUUCCGUUUAUGAUUGGGAGAUUUCGAUCAAAAUUAAUAUGAUGAAUUCUUUGCAAGUGUUUUCCUUUGAAGUGUCAUCUUUCAUAAAGUUUGUAAAAUCAAGGUGUUACCAUCUCUGAAUAAAUAUUUACUCUUGAUUUAGACCGGCUAAUCUGAAAUUGAUGAAAGAUUAUGAUUUUGUGUGAUUUUAUGAAUGCAGUCCUAUCUCGUGAAAGUCAGUAUUGAAUGAAUUAUAGUUUGCAGACAAAUUACUCAAAAGCUGCCGCUGCUUCAUUAUUCACAUUACCCAAAUUCAGUGCAGAACUUAUCAUAAGUCCAAAAAUUUUGUGCUUUAUUUGGCUUCACUCAUGUAAAUUUUUUCCACCCAAAUCCCAAGUACUUCCUGCAAUAUCAUUCCUGUGUAGAUGUUUUCCCCUAAGACAUGUUUAACAUUGGUUCAGGGUAAACAAAGCUACAGCCUUUCUUGCAAUGCGCAACAAGUUACUAAAUCAGAGUAUUUAUUUCUGUAUUACUACUGCUAGUAAGAGAGGCGAAAUGGAAAUAUGAACUCAACUUUGUACAAAGUUUGUUAAUAAAUAAAUGAGUUGAUAAAGGGACAUUUUAAAUAUUUACAACAAAUGGAGAAUGAUAUCUAGUUCUAUAUUCAAUGUUUAGAGUCCAAUUGUGAUCGAUAGUGAUAUAAUUACCCCCAUUAGAAAUUUUAAUUAUGAAGUUGCAGUAAAAAUUUAUUAUAAUAUGUUGCACCUUUCUAUACAAUCAUCUGGAGUAAUAACAUAUCAAAAAAAUAAUAACUCGACUUACAGGGUAAGACAGAAAAGAAAGACGCUAAAAGAGAAGCAGAGAUUCAAAGACUUGACCACUUUGUUGGAGGGACAAUUACGUAAAUCUCCAGAAUACUGAAAUAAAGCACUUGCAAUAUCUAGCAUUACGUGUGUAUAUAUAUGUAUAUGUCCAAAGACAAAAAUUCGAAGAUUAGAUCUCUCAUUUCAUUUUAUGCUCAAAGCAAUGGCUUUUGUUCCACAAGCACAAACAAGGAAGAGUACGCACAAAGUUAACAAACACACAUAGCAAAUAUGACAUUAACAAGUUGCAGCAUCAUCAUCCAGAAACUUCACUCUAAUCGUCUUGAGCUUUGCAGCGGCAUCUUUCACAGAUACCCUCUGUUCUUGUGACUUCAUGCAACAAUCAAACGCCAAAUGCAUGAUGCUUAAUAAACAAUUCAUUUUGGCGGAAAAAGCUUGCUCUUCUCUUACUAAUUUGCAUCAACAGCAUCCGUCAGUGCCUGAGGUAACGAGUCCUUUAUCUAGUCUCCGAAACUUAUUUCUCCAGUAAACAUUUCAUCAGUGGGCGUCUUUCUCGUGAAAGUUUCCAUCAGUAAAACACAAUAACUAUAGAUGUCACAUUUGGCCGAAAUUAUUCCUUCUGAUCCGUACUCUGCAAUUUUUGGUUUCAAUAUAUCAAAUAUGAGAUUAUGAAACAAAUGAUAAACAAAUAAUCUUUUGAUAACCAAGGUGACCCAAACUUUCCCUGUGCUUGGAAAAAGAGCAAAAAUUUGAUACUAUAAUUGAAACCUUACCUGGUGCCAUAUAACCAAUUGUAGCCAUUGUCAUUAUGAAUCUAGAAGAAUCUUAUUUGUUAAUGAAUGAUUCCAGAAUGCACAACUGAGCUUGCAUUGCUCGAUUUAUACUGAUUACAAAACUGAUGAUACAGACAUUUCAUUUCAUAACUAACUACUAACAAAUAUUGCCCUAAGCCUAUUACAAUGUGCCAUCUGUUAAUUCUUCCAACAGUACUAGAAUCUUCACAUAACGACUUGGACACAUCAGCAUAAAGUCUAUUUGUGGAAUGUUCUAUGCUGAAUUUGUGCUAUCAAACGUUGAUGGAGAAACACAAUUUUCUUCUUAGAAAAAAUUAUUAUCUAAAGAUUCACACAUGUUAGAAGAGAUUCGAACAAAGGUUUAUUAGUUCGUGGGAAAAACAAUGUUAAUGAAACGAGGUCUUGGUCUCAUAGAGAUAGAGAAAAACAAUUUGUGCAUUCUCUUUACUCGUGGGAUCUAGUUUCCUUAAUUUUGUCCUCAUUCUUUAUUUUUUUUAUAUGCUGAGGAUACACAAAAACAAUGUAGGCUGAGUUUGAUUGUGAAUAAUCUCUUGUGGAAGGAAAUGACUGUUAAGGAUUAGUUAGAAUAAAACUAUAUUCGGAGGGAGAUGGGGUACUUGGUGGGAUGAAUAGUUUGAUUCUGGGGAAAAUAAAAGACAUAACAUUGAUAGAGGACUAUCAGAUUUCUCCGUCCCAUCUACGCUGAGAUCAAAACAAUUGGCUCCUAUUCCGCAAGCACAAACAAGACAGAGCAGCAAAGUCAGCAACAUUCGGAACGAGUACAAACAGAGGUGGAGGACAUGUCACUCUGCGUUUGCAAUGUCUCCGACGUGUCGUUCUCUAUUAAACGACGUCGAAUAAUAUCAGUGUACGACAAGUGACUAACGGCGGUUAUGGCCGUUAAAUGAGCACGUGAUGGCACGUGAGCAACUAAAUUAUAUUAGCUCAGAAACGUCAAGCUUAGGACCUUUUGAUCAUUACUCAAGUUGCACGCGUGGAGCGCGUGUAAGAAGCAGUUACGGGCCGUUUCUUUUGGCGGGAAAAAAUCUGGGAAACUUGCCCAACAGGCAGAAACAACGGUUAUAUAAAUGCUGAUUAACAACUAUUAUUUUCAGAGGUUGUUAAGAGAGCUCAAAGAGAGUUAGAGAGAGAAAGUCAUCUUGAUUUGUUCUCUAUAAUGCCCUUGAGGCUCUUGUAACCUUGUUCUCUUGAGAUUAGUGAAGCCAUUAACUUGAUCUUGAUCUACUCUAGAUGUAGUCACCUCUGGUGCUGAACUACUAUAAAUAUUUGUAUUCUUUGUUUACUGAUCUAUUAAUUGUUAAUUUCCUUUUCAAAUCAGUGUUUGUGAAUCUUGAGUAUUUCUUGUCCAACAUUGUGGUCUUGGGGUGUUAAUUUGGGAUCGAAUCGCAACACCCAUAAACAUAUCAUCUGUGGGCUUCUUUCUUUCCACCAAUAAAACGCCAUAGCGAUAGACAUCCCCAUCUGGAAGGAAUAAUUCCCUCAAUUCCGUAGUCUGCAUUUUUAUCUUCUUUUAAAUUUCAACAUAUCAAAAAGAGGUCUCUUUAUGAAAUAAAUUGUAAAUAAAUAGCGUUUGGAAUAAAUUUUGCUUGUGUUUAAAAAAAGGGGCAAAGUUCGAAAUAGACUUGAGACAUUACCUGAUGUCGUGUAAACAAUUGUGGCAAUUGUCAAUGUUGUCGCGGUAUCAUCUUAUUAAGUAUGAUUUUAUGAAUGUUGAGCAACCCAGUCUUAUCUCAUGUAAGUCAGUAAUGAAUUAAUUAAAAUUUGCUGACAAGUUACAAACUCAAGAACUGCUGCUGCUUCAUUACCCAAAUUCAGCUCAGAACAUAUCAUAAGUUUUCCAAAAUUUUUAUGCUUCUUUGUUUUGGCUUCAUUCAUGUAAUUUUCCCCCCCAAAUCCCAAGUACAUUCUGCAAUAUUGUUUGAUGUCCAAUGUGAAAGCACGUUUCUGUACAGAUACUUUCCCCUUAGACAUGUUUAACUUUGGUUCAGGGUAAGAAUGUGCAACAACCUGUCAGAGUGAAAUCGAAAGCAGGGUUGUGGUUGAUGGCAAUCGUAUCACCAACAGAAGGCCAGGAACUUCCAUAUAGUUUGCACUGGCAAUUGCGGAGAAGUAUUUUGGUCGCAACAAAGCACUGGAGCUUGCAAAGAUAAUGCUUUACACUCGUACCUAAACGAUUGUAACGAGAACUGGUCUACUAUUGAACUGGAGUAUUCAUUUCUAUAUUACUACUACUAGCAGAGAGGCGAAAUGGAAACUUGAAUUCAUGUUUGAAUAGGGAUUCUCUGUGUUGAUUUGCACAACAGUUUGUUUAUAAAUGAAUGAGUCCAUAUCUAGUAUUAAGUCUGUAUGUGUACAAAGUUACAAAUUCGAAGAUUGGAUUUCUAAUUUCAAUUUAUGUUCGGCUCAAAGUAAUGGCUUUAAUUCCACGAGCACAAGAAGGAAAGAGUACGCACAAAGUUAACUGGUUGCUGCAGCAUCGUCCAGGAACAUCACUUUAAUCUUCUUGAGCUUUGCUGCAGCGUCUGUCAUAUUUUUCCUCUUGUCGGGUGACUCCAUACAGCAAUCCAAUGCCAAAUCCAUAAUGCUUAAUAUACAAUCCAUUUUGGCAGAAAAAGCUCGCUCUUCUCGCACCAAAUUUGCGGCAACAACUUUAGUCAAUCCGUGAGGUAAUGACUCCUUUACCCAUCUCCUUAAACUCAUUUCUCCUGUGAACAUUUCAUCGGUGAGCCUCUUUCUUGUGAAAGUUUCCAUCAACAAAACACCAUAGCUGUAGAUAUCACAUUUAGCUGAAACAAUUCCUUCUGAUCCAUACUCUGCAUUUUUUAAUUUCAAUUAUUAAACAAAUGAUAAAACAAAUAAUUUUUUGAUAAUUAAGGUAACCCAAACUUUGCUCGUGCUUGAAAAAAGAGUAAAAAUUUUAAUUACAAUUGAAACUUUACCUGGUGCCAUAUAAUCAAUUGUAGCCAUUGUCAUGGUUUGUGUCACAAAAUCUUCUCCUUAACCUAAGAGUUUGGAAAUGCCGAAGUUGCUCACGCGUGCCACCAUAUUUUCAUCCAAGAGAAUGUUGGGAGGCUUCAAAUCACAAUGAAUUAUAGGUGCCGACGAAUGACCAUGAUGGAGAUAUUCAAGAGCCGACCCCACAUCUAUUAUUAUAUUCAACCUCUCUAGAAUGUCUAAGAAAUAGUUGUGAGAAUACAACCACUUCUCGAGACUACCAAUCGGCAUGAACUCAAGUACCAAUGCUUUGAAAUCUGGAUUAGAACAACUGCUAAGGAUCUUUAUGAGAUUUCGAUGACGAACAUUCCGUAAAACUUCACAUUUAGAAUCAAAACUCCUAAAUGCUCUCUCUAGUUGCAAAUUGAAAAUCGUUAUCGCAACAUCAGUCUCGUCGGAAAUAGUUCCUUUAUAAACUGGUCCAAAACUAUUUGUACCAAGCAAGUUACAUUCAUUAAAUUCAUCAGUUGCUCGUUGAAUGUCUAGGUACUGUUUGGUAACGGAAAAAGGAGAAAAAAAUGGAGUGGAGGCAUUACUUUUAUCUCAUCCUUAACUUCUGAGGGUGGGGGAUCUCUUUCUCUCUUCUUCUCAUGGAAAAUUCUUUCUUUUACACUCUACUUUUCUGCAAAUUACUCAAAAGGUUUUUUAUUUUAAGGCAAUGUUUAUUAAGCCACAUGAGUGGUGGCACAAGUUUUUCCCAAAGGCCUAGAAACUACCUUGAGCGUCGGAGGGUUCAAAUGCGCCCAAGCACACAGCCCAAAGCCUCUGUGUGUACUCAGACGGGCCCCAAAGGCCUGUAUCUCAUUCAUAUCAUCUGUAAUAUUUGUCUCUCAAUAUCUGUCUGUAUCUCAUAUUUGUAUCUCUGUAAUCAUCAUACCGCAUGCAUAUGCCCCCAAAAGGCAAAAUCGCCCAAACACACGGCCCAAAGCCUCUUUGUGUGUUCAGACGGGCCCCAAAUACCUCUCAUCUCAUCUCAUCUGUAUCACUGUAUCUAGAGGGAAGGGUAUUGUCCAAUGAUUUUAAAAACAAUCUCUAUACUCAUAUUCAUGUAUAUUCUAAUCAUACUUUAAAUCAUACAUUUCUUUUCAUUAUCACAUCUAAAUCCACUUUUCUCAUCUUUAAAAUACUAUUGUAUUUCAUUCAAAGUCGACACAGAAAAUCAUUGACCAAACAUUUUAAUAUAAUAUCAAUGCGUGCAUAAAAUCCAUUUCGAGGAAAUCAUUAAAUCAGAACAUUUAAAAUACUUAUUUCACAAACAUGCUUUACUAUCAUAAUUAACUAUGAAAAUAGGUUUUGUAUAUUCCACUCACAGUGACGGUGUUCACGCUCGGUUAUCGUUCACGUCCGCGGACCGAUUCUCACUCGCGAAUCAUCCAAAAUCAAGGAAACGACAUAAUUAUUUUUCGUAAAUCGGAACUAAGACUAAAUUUAUGCAAUAAACUCGAAACGACCAUCUAUUACUAAAAUACCCUCGAAUCCGUAAAUCGUUAAAAUACUCUAAAAUCGUAAAUCACCGAAUUACCCUCGGAAUUGUAAUUACACCCAAUCCUCAAUUCCAUGAAUUACUAAAAUAUCCACAAGCUCAAAAAAUUACAAAAUUACCCUCAAGAAUGUGAAAUUACCAAAUGCCCUUGCCAGUCAAUGGUCACCGGAAUUUGGUCAACGCUGGCCGGGAAGCACGGGUUAGACACUUUUGGCCAAGCUAAGUUCAAUGAUACCAGCGGUGAGCUCCAACGCGCGGCAACGAUGCUGGAAUCUAGCUCGGCAGCCGUGAAUUUCCAACAAUUGGAUGGCGGCGAAACAAUGACUCCCGGUGGCUAUGGAUGGUCGAAAAUGGAAGAGGGAGUCAUGGGGAACAAAAUCCAACCGGUGGUGUCACCCAAAAUCGGCGAAGCAAAGCGAAACAGUCGCGGGUUUUCAAGCUUUGGUCGCGGGCGUUCUGGUUGUUUUUCGGCGAUGUGAACGGCAGGGGUAUGAUGGCCGGUCUUCAAGCUUCAAAUUGGUACCAAGCUUGACCGGAACGGUGGCCGGAAAUGGAAGUUACGACUGGUCACGUUUGCGGGUCGGGUCGGGUUUUUGGGUCUGUAGUUGGUAGCUUCUCUCACUCACACGUGUGGCUUCCCUCUCCUGUUUUCCAGCUUAUUCUAUUAUUUAUUUUAACCUUUAACCGCCUCUUUUUAUUCAUUUAAUUCACAUAUGUUACAGUACUAUUGACUAUGUGUGUAUAGAUAUUUUGUUUUUACCAUGUAAUUUCAUAUUGGAUACAUUUUUAAUUGUACAUUGCAUAGCGUCAUGAACGGGAAUGAUAAAAUAAAUUUCAAGCAUGUUUAAGUAGAUGAAAAAACUUUGUACGAUUUAGAAGGAUUUACUGAUUAAAUAAUUAUCCAAUUUGUUUGCCUGGAGGAAUUGAAUAGUUAAUUGAUUAGAGGACCAGCUGGGCAUUGUAAAUAUUAACGGUCAUUAUUAAACAAAUGAUAAAACAAAUAAUACUCUUAUAACAAUAUUUUUUACAUUAAUUUUUUAAUCAAUAAAAAAAGGUAACUAACAAAUUAACUGAUAAAUUAAUUUGUUAAUAGUUUUUGUUAAUUUUUUAAUCAAUAAAAAAGUUAAUUAAAAAAUUUACUUAUUAGCAAAUUAAAAAAUAAAUAUUAGCAUAAAAUAAUUGAUAUUUCAUUCUCUUACAACAAUCUUACUAAUUAUUAUUUAUAAAUUAAUUAAUACAAGUUAAUUUAAAAUAAUGUUUAAUAUUCUUGUAACAACCUUUCUAAUAAUUGUUUUAUAAAAAAAAUUAAUUUAUUAAAUUAAUCCUAAAAGUAAAAUAAUAAUAAUUAAUUUAUAUUUUAUUUUUAAGAUUAAUUUGAUAAAUCGUGGUGCCCGGCAGGUAAAAAGCCAUGUCACCCUCAUUCUUAAGCUGCUACAGCAUUACCACUCUGUCAGUUGCCACGAAGCUCCCCACAUCAUUACCGUAACGAUGCCUCUAGAAAACUAACUUAAAAAAAUGGUAUUAAUAAGCGUACGCCACGUCACUCCUCACUCUCUUCGUCACUUUCCUCUCACUCAACAUUUUCUCCCCAAACAAAUUCCUUCUUUGAAAAAUCGCAUUUUCUCCUUCACAGCAACAGCUACAAUGUCUUCAACUUCCAAAAAGGUAAUUUUUUUUUAAUUUUAUUUUUUGUUUUGUUUCUUUCUGUUGCCUUUUUGUUUCGUUUUUUGAAUUUUCUGUGUCGUUUUUUUAUCCAAGGUUUUGGUGCCUGUUGCGAACGGGAGUGAGCCGAUUGAGGCCGUGAUAACGAUCGAUGUUUUGAGAAUGUCUGGAGCUGACGUCAGGGUUGCGUCUGUGGAUAAACAGCUUCGUGUCGACGCGUGUCAUGGUGUCAAGAUUGUCGCUGAUGCUCUUGUGUCUGACUGCCGCGACGCCGUUUUUGAUCUUAUAGCUCUUCCCGUAUGUAUUGCAGCUCACCUCAGCUCAUGCUAAUUUAUGUGAUGUUUUUAUAAUUAUAGAUUAUUAUUGCUGAUACUGAAUGUUAAGCUAAAUAAUUUGUUGUUAAGUCAUCUUCAUUUAAUUUUCGAUUGAAAAUGAAAAAAAUAGUAAUUUUGAGCAAAGAAAAAUGUAGAAAAUGUUUAUUUUGUUUUAUUUUUAUUUUUAAAUUUUUGGGAUUUCCUUAUUGUGACUGUUAUCAUUCAUUAUAUGGUCCUAGUUAAAUGUUUCAAGUUGUUGUAGUCUGUGAAACUCUUUUCGAUAUUUAUUCUGGCAUGUACAUUUUUCCUUUCAAUUUAUUUCGUUGCUGAUACUUUGAUUAUGAUAUAUCCUUUUUUGUUUCCCUUGUAGGGUGGCAUGCCCUGUGCUACCAAUCUGAAAGAAUCUGAAGUAUUAGAAACCAUUGUGAAGAAGCAGGCUUCAGCUGGGCGUCUUUAUGCUGCUGUCUGUGCUUCACCUGCUGUGGCAUUAGGGUCUUGGGGUCUGUUGAAGGGAUUGAAGGUAAGAAUUAGAUAAGCCUUUUUUAUGUUUUGUGUUCUUUUGGGAAUUGCAUUGAUAUUUGUGUUAUACAUCAGUUUUGCUCUCACCGAUGAUUGUUAAGUUCUAAUUUAUAGGGUUUUUGAUUUUUUGUAGGCUACUUGUUACCCGUCAUUUCUGGAGCAAUUAGCUCCUGCUUGUGCAGCAACUGUUGAAUCAAGAGUACAGCAGGAUGGUAAAGUUGUUACGAGUCGUGGAC
rnacentral:lncRNA from 1 species